rnacentral:rRNA from 1 species
UACGUAGGGGGCAAGCGUUAUCCGGAUUUACUGGGUGUAAAGGGAGCGUAGACGGCGAUGCAAGUCUGGAGUGAAAGGCGGGGGCUCAACCCCCGAAUUGCUUUGGAAACUGUGUUGCUAGAGUGCAGGAGAGGUAAGAGGAAUUCCUAGUGUAGCGGUGAAAUGCGUAGAUAUUAGGAGGAACACCAGUGGCGAAGGCGUCUUACUGGACUGUAACUGACGUUGAGGCUCGAAGGCGUGGGGAGCAAACAGGAUUAGAUACC